GGGCAUGUAGCUCAAUAGUAGAGCACUUGCCUAGCAUGCAUGAGAUCCAUCCCCA
rnacentral:tRNA from 1 species